GUUUGGGGAGGGGAAGAUGGAAGGAACCAAGCCAGAGGAAAAGCAGAAGUAUCAACAGAACUUUGAUUCUAUUGAGGGCAGAGACUGAGGAGAUUGAAGAAGAGGAACAGAUGGAGAAGAAGACCCUGGAGGAAGAAUUUCAUUAUGCCAUCCAAGGAAAGGAGAAGCACUGGAAGAGAUUUCAGCUUUCUCUGCUUGAAAUGGCUAUGUCUACACAGAAUACCUGGCAUGUGGACACAUCCAGUGAUGAUGAAAAAGCAAGAGAGGACUGCUAAGCUAAAGAGGGAGAAAACCUGGGUCAGUGGAAUACUGCUGAGCCUCUGAAUUCACUACACCCAGAAUUGCUUGUCUUUACUCUUCCUGUUAUAUGAGAUAAUUUGCUUUCUUGGA